GUUACAAUCAAAACUCCGGUUACAGAAUGAUGAGAGGACACUUGAAAGCUCUUGGUCAUCGAGUCCAAUGGAGCAGAGUCUGGGACUCUAUGAAUAGAGUGGAUUCAGCUGGAGUUCUUGCUAGAAUGUCACUUGGACAUGUUGUGAGAAGAUCCUAUUCAGUUCAGGCACCUCCCUCGUGCAUUUGGACACCAACCACAAGCUGAUCAGAUAUGGCUUAGAAAUAUUUGGGGGCAUAGAUGGCUACUCAAGAAAGGUCAUGUAUCUGAGGGCUGCAACCAACAACCGGGCAGAGACUGCUCUAGGUUUCUUCCUCGAGGCAGUAGGAAAGCACAAGUUCCCUCACGGUAUGUAUGUACAUUUUGGUACAUCCAUCUACUGUUGAUAUUAGCCACACCCUGCUUCAUUAGGGAAUGCAACUUUCCUAGGCUACUUGUACCUCUUCUGCUUAUAAAGAAUAAUAACAACACAGCUGAGACUUAAGAGGAAAAAAACAUUUG